GUUCCCUCCUCCGAUUAGAAACUUGUAGGAACUAGGAAAACAUAUUUUCCUUUAAUAGAAACUGAUACGGUCAAUUGAAUAGGAAAACCUAAAUUGCUGCUGCGUCAAUUUCCAGUACCUCAUUGUGAUUUUUUUCCAGGAAAGUUCUCUUCUUCCCCUGUUAAAUUGGUUGCUUGCAAUCGUUUUGCAAUACAUUGUUGAUUGAUGUUGCUCGAUUUUUAUAUGGAUUGAACGAUAGGAAAACCUAGAUUGCUGCUGCGUCAAUUUCCCAGUACCUCGUCGUCGAUUCUUUUCCAGGAAAACCUAGAUUGCUGCUGCGUCAAUUUCCAGUACCUCGUCGUCGAUUCUUUUCCAGGUACACGUUUGAAUCUGCCCUGCUGUAACUUUAAGCUUGAAAUGGAAUACAAUUACUCACCUGUUUGAUCCUGAAAUAUGCUGCAUGGACUGUGAUGUGUUGGUAGUCAAAUGGGCAUUCGAUUUAAUCACAUAGCAUAGUGUAAAUCGAUUUAUAUGAGUGUAAACCCUGGACUGUUAACUGGACUGUAUAACUGGACUGUUCGUAUGGACUGUGCAAUGAGCUUUAAUUCUGAUUAUAGCAAUUCGCAUGUUAGAGUCUAAUGUCUACUUUCUGCGGUUAAUGACAUGAUUGGACUGUUUCGAUUUUUAUUUCAUGUCAAUAGGACUGCCUAUUGCAGUUGUUUGUAUGAACAAGUGUAGUAGAGUAAUGUAACAUACUAGCCUGAUAAGUUGAAGUCGGAAUAGAAUAAGGACUUGAACAUCUUAAGUUCGAUACCUCCAUAUUAUUAGUAAUCACCUUAGUCUAGUUAUCCCGUAUCUAUUUCUGA